GCAUUGGUGGUUCAGUGGUAGAAUUCUUGCCUAACGUUGAGGAGACCCAGGCUGGAUUCCUGGCCAGUACA
rnacentral:tRNA from 1 species